CUGCCUCAUCUCAUAUUUGAUCAUGUAUCUUUCUUCCUAGAAUCCCCCUGCUGUGUCUUCCUGCCUCUUUUCUGGCACCGCUCUCCUGGUGUUGGCACUCGGUGAGGACAUAGUUAGAAUUGUAAACAUGGCCACAGAUUGGAUAUGGGAGUCAAAUGCGAAGAGGAGGUCAUAUUCACUCCAAGGACUGCAGACCAGUGGGAGUAACAGGGUCUGGGAGAGACAGCAGCUGUGGUAUAAGGAGGUGCCCUGGCCACUGGAGAGAGAUUUCUGGAGUCAUCUAGGAGUUUUGCUGAGAACCAAAAGCCCUGGGGAAGAAGAGGUGAG
rnacentral:lncRNA from 1 species